rnacentral:rRNA from 1 species
UACGAAGGGGGCUAGCGUUGCUCGGAAUCACUGGGCGUAAAGCGCACGUAGGCGGCUUCUUAAGUCAGGGGUGAAAUCCUGGAGCUCAACUCCAGAACUGCCUUUGAUACUGCUGGGCUUGAGUACAGUUGCUGUGGGCGGAAUAUGACAUGUAGUGGUGAAAUACUUAGAGAUGUCAUAGAACACCGAUUGCGAAGGCAGCUCACAAAACUGUAACUGACGCUGAGGCACGAAAGUGCGGGGAUCAAACAGG